UACGUAGGGUGCAAGCGUUAAUCGGAAUUACUGGGCGUAAAGCGUGCGCAGGCGGUUUGUUAAGCUGUCGGUAAAGCCCCGGGCUCAACCUGGGAAUUGCGAUGGAGACUGCAAGGCUUGAAUCUGGCAGAGGGGGGUAGAAUUCCACGUGUAGCAGUGAAAUGCGUAGAGAUGUGGAGGAACACCGAUGGCGAAGGCAGCCCCCUGGGUCAAGAUUGACGCUCAUGCACGAAAGCGUGGGGAGCAAACAGG
rnacentral:rRNA from 1 species